rnacentral:rRNA from 1 species
GACGAACGCUGGCGGCGUGGAUUAGGCAUGCAAGUCGAACGGUAUCAUCCUUUCGGGGGUGAGAGAGUGGCGAACUGGUGAGUAACACGUAGGUUAUCUACCCUCAAGACGGGGACAACCCAGGGAAACUUGGGCUAAUACCGGAUGUGAGCAACUUUUAGUUGUUUGAAAGGUGGCGUAAGCUGUCGCUUGGGGAUGAGCCUGCGUCCUAUUAGUUAGUUGGUGAGGUAACGGCUCACCUAGGCAAUGAUAGGUAGGCGGCCUUAACGGGUGGUCGCCCACACUGGGAUUGAGAUACGGCCCAGACUCCUACGGGAGGCAGCAGUCGAGAAUAGUCUACAAUGGUCGGAAGACUGAUAGUGCGACGCCGCGUGAACGAUGAAUCCCUUCGGGGUGUAAAAGUUCUUUUAUAUGUGAGCAGUGCUUCUUAUAUUAACAGUAUGGGAGAGAGAUAUUAGCAUAUGAAUAAAGCAACGGCUAACUCCGUGCCAGCAGCCGCGGU